CCCUGUUUUAAGCUGAACCAGAUGAUGCCUGGAGACUCCAGAAUCCGCUAUUCUGUGAUUUUGUGUCAGCAAGAAACCACUGCUGCAAUGAAAACUAACUGAGCUGCAUUUGUGAGAUCUAACAGCAAGUCAAAGACUUCUGAAGUGGGUCUGAUUUUCUCCGUCACAUUGUCAACUCUGCGAAGCAGUGAUGAUUGUAAAUGUUGCACAUCAGAUAACGAUAUGCAUGAAAUAGAAUUACUGUUGUUCCUGCGAGACACUCAGCUAACUUGCAAACUUGAUAAAGGAGUCAAAGGCUUAGGAAGACAUCACUGAGAAUAAGAGAGCACCAUUGACCUGCAGUCUGGAUGGGCUUCCUGGGAAGGCAGCAUUAUGCCCCACAAGAGAUUCUGUACUCCAUUUUACAAAGAUCUCAUCUGGAAUUUUCCACCCCUUACAGCAGUCAAAUUAUAACAGGGAGAUGCUUAGAGAGCGAUUGGCCUGCAUAUGAAGACCUUCAAAUGUAUCAGGCAAUUGCAGUCCAGGUCUGCACUCAUCCACUACAAUGAACAGAGGAUGCUGCUGACUAUUAGCUAUGCAUUUUAUUGAGAUUGUGCUACUGUUCUCAGCCAUUUGUUCAGAGAUGGAUUUGAAGCACCUUUUCCUUCCUGUUCAGGAAUGAUGACAUCAACUGAACAAAAUACAAACUGAUUAAGUGACUUUUAAGGAUGUAUUUCAAAGAGCAGAAAAGUCUGUAAUUGCAAAAAUCGGUGAUGCUGGACCAAAUUAAGUUCCUUUAUUCCUUGACUUCCAAAUUGUCAAGCAAUAUGUAGGAAAAUCACACCAAAAAAAGAGGAAACAUCGGUGGUUGAUUAAAUCAUCUGUAGAGGUAAAACAGCCCGAUUUUCUUCAGCCUACUCUCAAAUGCUAUAAUUUCUUCAUGUAUAUUUAAAUUUGCUGCUCUGUCCAGAUCCUUUUCACUUGGAUGACCUCUUUCUUGAGCUGUGACCCCCAGCAUUCACAGCUCCAGCUGGACCAGAAUAUCUUGACUUCACACUAAGAAGUCCCCCAGCUGAGUUAUGCCUCUUCGUCACGGAAUUCACACCCCACCCCCUCCACUGACGCAAACUUCAGAGAGCAGCUCCAUGGAGGAUAACCUAAGUGCUGCCUGCAGAGCUAAUAUUCUUGGUAAUGGUCUGACAAAGGUAAUUAAUGAAAUGCUGUUUCCAACUUCAAAUUGUAAGUAAGUUUACCCUUCUGCUUCUGAAAGCUAUCCUUGUAGUGAAGCAAUGAGGACUUCCGUCUAUUAUUUGUAAACUGUCGAAGGCUGAAUAAUCUAUUGCAUUAUAAGCAGCACUCUCACACACAGAUAUUCACAUACACUGCAAAAGAAUUUGUGCUUUGUCUGGAGUAAAAUGAAGUCCCAAAGGUAAUUUCUGUACAGUGUGGGAAACCGUGUCUCCUGCAGGAAAUUUAUAGCUGUGAUUGUUUCAGAGAAAUGAAAACUGUAGCAUCAAAUGUUUUUAACAAAAAUAUUUGAUUGUUUCAUGUUUUACAUCUGACUCAUGCACUGCAAAUUUAAAGAAGUUAUAAAUCCUGGACAAAGUUUUAGGUCACUUCGUAGGAACUAGUUUGACUAACUUCAUUAUAUUGUUUCUGUCACAUUAUAAAGUGAUUUACUGAAUACACGUUUAAUUUGCGCUCAUUGUGGUCUACAUUAAACAUAACAGGGUUUAUACUAAGGUUCAUAAAAACCCAUUUGGGAACAACAUUAGAAGAUAAUUAAAAAUAAUCAUUUAUUUCAGUUUAUAACUGAGAAUAGUUGUGCAGAAAUAACAGGUUAUUGGUCUUAAGAAGGGCUCUUUUUCCACCUUAUUUAAAUGUAACUGAGUCCUGUAAGAGUGAUGACCAAUCAGAUGAAAGCCUGUCCCUAUGUAUCCUGAGGCAUUUGUUCAGGUCUUGCCCAGGAGUGAUGUGGGCAGCCAUUUCCAAUGGCCCUGCUGUGGUUGGACAGGAUGUAUGGAGAUGGUCAGUCAUGGCAACCAUUGAACAGUCCCUUACAUGCUGUUUGCUAUAGCAACUGACAUCAGCGUGCUGAUGAGUUUUCUCAUCUGUUAUGAUUAAUUUACUGUACAGCUAAGGAUUUGUAUGAAGGAGGGGGAAAUGAAAAUUUUUAGACUUUCUGCUCUUUUAAUGCUUGGCUUUAUAAAAUAAAUUUUGAAAAUAAAAAAGUAUAUGUAUCAAAACAGAAUAUGAUAACUAUUUUUUUGUUUGUUUUCAUGAAAGAGCAGGAAGCUACUUUCCUAAUCUGACACUACUCUGGAAAAAAAUUACAAGUAAAUUGUUUUGCUAUGUCUUUUCCUCCAUGCAUCCCUCACACACUUUUUGGGAGCUGGGACAAAAUCCACUCUCUCAUACUUGCUGCCCUUCCUCUUUCCAGCUGCCCUGUUUCUCUGACAACGUAUUUUUGAGUGCGCUGUUUCCCUUUUGUUUUAGCUUCUGUGUCGGUGGAAUGAGCAUAAAAACGGCUUGCCUUUUCCACAACAGCUGUCAGCCAAAGCUUAUACAUCAAAUACACAUUAAGUUCAGUACAUGCUAAUGUCGAAUAAGGACAGGGCAGUAAUUAUUAUUUAUGUGGAUUAGUUGAUUAUAGCAAUAAUCAAAGUGAAAGAUGAAAUUUGCCUCUUUGGACUUGAGCAGAUUUGAGAGGCUGUGGUAGUCUUGUCCUCUGACUUUCUACUGAGAUGAAUUUUAUCCCUAAAUACAAAAGUAUUCCGAAAGUAACACUGAAUGUAUCUUCUAAUAUAUAAGAAAAGCACUACAUUCCAACUUUCACUUAAAUUAUUCACCCGUUUUUCCUCAAGUUUUUUUAAUGUGACUUAAAUACAAAGAACUCAGACUUUUACCAUCUUGGAACUGCCUUGUAAGGGAUGCCAGGAGUCAGAGAGAAGCACCAAAUUGUUGCUUCAAAGCUAUCAUUCGCUCUCUGGGUUUUGGACCAGGCAAAAGGCUAGUGAACUUAUUUUAACUCCAUACUUAAAGCAAUUCCUUCCAGUAUCCUUUUUUUUUUUUUCCCUCCUUAAAUCUCUUAGCGUAAUCUGAGUAUUCUGCUAAGACGCAGAGCUGUUCUUGUUCGUUUUUUUUUAAGAAUGUUGAGGAAAAAUGGGAAGGAUAGAUGGAUGAUGCAGACACAGCUAGCUAUAUGCCUACAAAAUAUCUACCUACCAGCUAUAUCUCCUCUCUUGCCUAGUUACACUAAUAAUUUAAAGAUAAACAUCAGACAUUUUUCAGCAACCCCCACACUGAAACAAUUGCAUGUUUCAUAGUUUCCUAAAGCCUUCAUGAAAGUCAGCAGAUUUAUGGUUUAAAGAAAAACACGCUAUCACAUUCAACAGCUUGCAAAAAUAAACUUCCUCCCAAAUUUGACGUUCCCUGAUUGUGGUGCAAUUUUUUUUUAAAGGGCAGUUACAGCUUAAGACUUCUGUAAUUGUUUAGUUGAAAGUUGCUUGCUGUUUCUGUGAAGUGUUCACACUGCUUGUCCAUGUACUUCUGUUUGCUCCUGCAGUCCACUAGCGCUAUGCUUGCUCAUAGCACUAAAUGCAACUCAUUGCUAGUACAUCAUACAAAAGCUGAUCUUAAUAAAGAAAACAUAAUCUUCAACCCCUGAAAACAUAUGUAUUCGUGUAGAAAUUACUUUUAUUCUCUAGAAGCUCAUCAGGUUUUUUGGGAUGGACUACACUUCUGGAGCUCCGUUCUAACCUCAGAAGAUCACAGUUCUUCUCACACCGCCUUCAUGUUCAUGAGCAGUUUUGGAAAUGGGGGUGAUUUUUUUUAUCUUCAGGUUCUCAAUCCAGUCUCCCAGGUGCGAUUAUCUCCAGAACACUCAUUUUCCACCUGAUACCUGAACGUGGCACAAGGAAAACAGUGGUAGAUCUAACUCAAUAUCUGGUUAAAGAUCAUGCAUAAAAUGAAAUGAGUCUUCAAUGUUUUCUGACUCUUCCUGAUUAAAGAGUUGUUUUCACUUCUUUGCAUAAUAUAUUUGCAUAAUAUUUGUUUGUCUAAUGCAUCCAUUUGCCAGUUAUGGUCCCAAUAUUUCCUGUACCUACAGGAACUACCACUUCUAUCAAAACGUGUUUGACCUUACUUUUAUGGACUUGGAUCAAAAUGACAGUGUAAGGAACAAUACAUUCAGUCACUCAGCAAAGCCCAUAGAAUCCUGCAUACUGCUUGGAAAUGCAACCCCGGUAAAAUCAGGGAAUUAGGAGAUGUCUCAGAAAAUAUAUCUGGACUCCAUUUCACUUAUUUUCUGAUGUACUAUUAAAAACUUGGUUAUGUCAUAAAUGUAUUUGUUGAAAUGAUUUAUACGUCUGGUGGAAAGUGGCACUUCAUCAGGAUUACAGUUCUUUUUUGUUUUGUGUUUUUUCUUUUUCCUGAUAUAUUCUAGAUUCACUAAAAUAUUCAUCAAGAGAGAUUCUAUGACUCUGAGGCAGAACUUAAUGGGACUAGGACUGGGGUUGAUUGUUGAGGAUACCUGUUCAGAGGCCAAAAUGUUCGUAUAAAGUGUUAUUAUUUGCAAUCAUAUUCCUGGCCUGAUCCAGCAGGAAUUAUAUAAACACCAGUACGGUAUGUGGCCACUAAUUAUACAAGAUAUGCUCCAGUAGUAAUGCCUCCUAUUUUCUGAUAUUGGCUGUGGUGUCAGGCAGAUGUUGGUGGUAUGGCAGUAGAGCUUGAACCUUCCUGCCAAUGUUCCAUUCCAUUCUCUUGCUUUGUGAUGUUUGGCAGCGGAGGAGCAGUCUGACAGAAUGUUGUCUGACACAGAAGUGCAUAUGAAGUAAAGGUGUGUCACUGAAUUCCUCCAUGUGGAAACAAUGGCACCCAUUGACAUUCAUUGAUGCUUGCUGAAUGUUUUUGGAGACCAAACACUGAAUGUGAGUACAGUGAGGUGGUGGGUGGUGUGACAGAAGAGGCAACAGUGACAGUGGUUCACCUCUGCUGGUACAUAUUUUUCCAAGUGCAGCAUGCAAGCUCUUGUUCAUGGCUGACAAAAAUGCAUAUCUAACGGUGAUGAAUAUAUUGAAAAAUUGGGUUUUGUAGCUGAGAGUUUGCUCUAUCAAAUAGUAUUAUAUUAUUGUAGUUUCCAUGGAAAUAAAUAUGAACCGUCACUUUUGGAGCAACCUGUGUAAUUUAACUGGAAAUUUAAAACCUGUGUGUAACAAAGAGAAGAUUAAUGUAACAGAAGAGCUUUCAAAUAAGAGUAGCAAAAUCCUAAUUUGAUAAAGCCCAAAUCCUAAUUUAGUUAAAACAGAAUUUGAUCUGCUUAUGAAAGGGAUUAUGUAUGUGGUUGCCUGUAAUUACCAAAGGAAAAUGGAAUACCUCAGCAGGCCCAUUCCAUUCUCAUAUUUUUAAAAUGCCUUCUAUAAUUUUGUAUUCAUUUUGAUACCAAAUGGGGAUGGUUUUUGAGCUUAAGAUAUGAUGAAAAAAUUAAACUGUUCCUUUCUUAACUCUUUUGUAUAAAAACAGCUGUAAAUUCAAUCUUUGUAAAAGUUUGAGUGAUUGGUCAGGUUGCCCAAAUGGCAAUUAAGUUUUGUGCAUUCUUCUUCAUUUGUAUUCUUAGUUAUGCUUGUAUUUCUCAAAGUUCAUCUUCUCUACAGGGAAGAAGAAGUGACAAAGGGCUGAUGUGAGAAUCAGAAAUUAUCAACAAAGGAAAAUGCUUACAAUUUCCUAGUAUAUAUUCCUACUAUAUUUCAUUAGUAUAAAAUUUCUCCAUCUUCUCUUAUCUGCCUGCUCAUUCCAAAACUGAAAGACCUGCAAAAUAUUUUUUUAAAAGGAAUUCACUGUAUUUUCAGCAGGAAAAUUUGUGAAAACAUGAUUGUAAGAUCUUACAGUAACUUUCUCUUCCUUUGAAAUGACAGAGAUAAUUAAGAACGUAUUUAUGUACUGUGUAACUUUAUAACUGAGUUCACUAACGGUUAUCUGUGAAAAGACUAUGGAACACUUGGUCCCAGUUACCAUAAUUGUCAUAACCAGGAUAGAACUGAUUAAAAUUAAAUUGCAGGUCCAUCGGCUGUAGGCUUCUAAGAAAACAUCAAUUCUUUUGAAUUUAGAAGGAGUAUUAGAAAGACAGAUAGCUUGUUCUAAAUUUUCAAAAAUCAAAAUUCUCCUGAGCAAAAAAUGUGUAAGAGUGUAAGAACUAGGUAGCCUAUAGUGAUAUAUUAUGUAUUAUAUGGAGUCCUUGUUUUCAAACCAACACAGGAAAACACGAAGAUUUAUGAUUAAUUAAUCUAAAACAGUUACAGGUACAUCUUAUCUGACAAGUGGUUUGUCAUUCGUAGUCUGUAAAACUAAACAGUUUUAGCAUCUGAAAUGCUAGAAGAAUGACACUGUUAUCUGAUAAGAUGUACUAACAAACAAUCAUAAAAAUAGGUAUUGGAUAAGGUGAAUUGAGGUCUUUAACAAAAUGAAUUUACUAUUAGUAGACUUUCAUUCUUCCUGUCACCUUUGAAAAUACAGUGACAUUUUUCUCUCAGGAUAUAAAAGAGUCCAUUCCUUUUUAUGUGAUUUAUGGGAGGUGGAAGGUCAGUUUUAGUAGUGUGUCCCAGAUGUAUCACUUUUAGUUGACAAAAAAAAACAAAACACAAAAAAAACCAAGAUUACACUAAGUCUUAAUUUAACUUAUUUAUGCCCAUAAAAUAUCUGACAUCGUAAGUACAGCCCUGUUAAUCAAUCUUCCCUUCUUCACAAUGCUUUUAGCUGGCUUAAAUCCUGUAGCAAAGCCGUGAUCUGGUUACUGCUAAACCUUGGAAAUUUGAAUUUGAUUGUAAUUUUUCUAAACCUUGUAAUUUCUCUUCUGCAAGUCUAAAAUUCAAAGGAUAACAACUAAAUUCACAGAUUCUAAUUUUGGCCAUCCAAAUGUUAGGCCUCGGUCUAAGAUCAUUCUGAAUGCUUCCAACUUUGUUAAGAUUCCAGAGAAAGAAACAAACUGUUAGAGGGUAAUUUGCCCAAAUUAUUUUAAAGAUGAAUUCUAGGGAUGGAAUUAGUUUCUUCUUCUUUCUCUAUUAUUCACACAAGGAACUUCUGAUUAGUUCAUAGGGUCGUAGAUACUCCUGCUCCUCCCAAAUAUGUGCUACUUCUAGUUGAAUUCCAUGUGAGACCUUCUAGUACUGCAGGGCUAGCACAGUAACAACAGUCUGGAUGUCUGUCUGAAAAGUCUGGCUCUGGAAAACAUGUGAGGAGACUGAGUACCUCUGAAUGUUGCUUUUUUCUCAUCAUUUUUUUUUAAAUUACAGCCUAGUUUUGGUUUCUCAGGUUAUUUUUUUGUGUCUUUUAGGAGAAGCAUAAUCACUAUACACAGAAUUACAGGUGUCUCAGAAGACUUCUCUACUGUUUCUAACAUCGAAAAGGACAUUGGCAGAGCCUGUCUGUCAUGGUUGUUGCUUUGUGUGUC